GCACAUUCACAGAAAAUGCAGCAGUUCUCUGCUCUGGCUGAUCGCUUCGCCUCCUGUUUGCAGGAUGGAAGAAACAGGUUUUAUUUGGAGAACUAUUGCAGGAAUAUACCAGGAAAGCCAGGAAAAUCCACAGACCCUUUGAAGGAACUGGAUCACCACCGCAGGUUCCCUGAGACACUAAAAAACUGA
rnacentral:lncRNA from 1 species